UUUGGUUUUUUGAUUAUUGGAGAACCAGAAUAGAACGAUACUAGAACUAUACGGAGAAGAUUAGCAAGGCUCUAUGCAAGGAUGACAUGCACUUACAGAAAAAUGCUCCGAAUUUUU
rnacentral:snRNA from 1 species